AUGGAGGGGAGGGAUAAUUUCUUCAAGUGGCUCUAUGAUUGGCCGAAGCUCCACAAGGCGUGUUUGCUAAUUGGAUUAUUUCGCUGACAGCUAAGGCUACAUAUGGCCAAUCCCGCGAUUUGAUUGGCUCUCAGUAUGUCAUUUACCGUCACGAAGCUUGAACUGUAGUUUGUUUUACGCACAAAAUGCAUCGCAGCGUCCGUCUCGAGGGGGACGCAAGGGUCAUGUUUGGGGCGACGUGUUUUUGAUGACAGCUUUAAAACACCAUUAGGCUUUGUUUUUGUCUUACCUGCUUUCUGGAACCAUUCUUCACCGGACUCAUACCCCGUUGUGGCAGUCAACUUCACACUGCGUCACAAAGCUACCGGACAAAUUGGUAACAGUUGAAAAGACGUCCAUAUGGAGGUGCUGUUGGCAGCCCUGCUUUGGAGACCUUGAGAGGGAACUGCAUUUGAUGAGCCGUCAAAUGAGUGAACAAGCCGGCUGGAGGCUUCAGUGAAGCAGGCUGCUUUAAUUCAUCGCUUGUGACACAGAACAGGCUCACGGAUAUAGUCAACACUUCCCAGCCUGCCUUCGCUUCUGAAUGUUUUCUACUAUGACAGAAUGGUUUUUUUAAGCUCUUGCAUGUCUCAUCCUUAUGAAAGCUUUUUCCUCUUUCACCUUUGUGCCAUAUCAUCUUUUCA